rnacentral:rRNA from 1 species
ACAUGCAAGUCGAGCGCUGAUUACAGGGUAGCAAUAUUCUGUGGUCGGAGCGGCGCAAGGGUGCGUAACACGUGGGUAAUCUGCCAUGAAGUUUGGAAUAACUUGCUGAAAGGCGAGCUAAUACCGGAUGUGACGAUUGGAAGGCAUCUUCUGAUCUUCAAAGCUGGGGACCGUAAGGCCUGGCGCUUCAUGAUGAGCCCGCGGCCUAUCAGCUAGUUGGUGAGGUAACGGCUCACCAAGGCUAAGACGGGUAGCUGGUCUGAGAGGACGACCAGCCACACUGGAACUGAGACACGGUCCAGACACCUACGGGUGGCAGCAGUCGAGAAUUUUUCACAAUGGGCGCAGGCCUGAUGGAGCGACGCCGCGUGGGGGAUGAAUGGCUUCGGCCCGUAAACCCCUGUCAUUUGCGAACAAUUCGGUUCAAUUAACACCUGAACCGUUGAUAGUAGCGAAAGAGGAAGGGACGGCUAACUCUGUGCCAGCAGCCGCGGUAAUACAGAGGUCCCAAGCGUUGUUCGGAUUCACUGGGCGUAAAGGGUGCGUAGGUGGUGAGGUAAGUCGGAUGUGAAAUCUCCGAGCUCAACUCGGAAAUGGCAUU